GACGAACCGUCCAAACGUUAUUCGGAAUUACUGGGCUUAAAGGGUGCGUAGGCGGCGCGGUAAGUUGGGUGUGAAAUCCCUCGGCUCAACCGAGGAAUUGCGCUCGAUACUGCCGUGCUUGAGGGAGACAGAGGUGAGCGGAACUUAGGGUGGAGCGGUGAAAUGCGUUGAUAUCCUAAGGAACACCAGUGGCGAAAGCGGCUCACUGGGUCUCUUCUGACGCUGAGGCACGAAAGCUAGGGGAGCGAACGGG
rnacentral:rRNA from 1 species